GGCCCUGUAGUUCAACGGAUAGAAUAGGCGCGUCCUAAGCGCUUGAUGACAGUUCGACUCUGUCCAGGGCUA
rnacentral:tRNA from 1 species